CUUUCUCUAUCAGAAUGACCGAUGUCCGUUAGUGCCGGGAAAAAACUAUAGUAUCUGAAAUCUUAUUUUGUUCAUACCAAAUAACAAAUAAGG